AUCCCAGCACACGCUGCCGGGAGCUGCGAUCCCCGCCGUGCCCCCCCGGCCCUGCCCUCAUCCCGGUGACACUCGUGUCCUCCUAUUAACCCUGCGGAGAGAGGACAAAAGCUAAACUAUGAUCCUGCGCUGCUUCCCCCCCCCGCCCCAUCCCGCUGCCGGCUCCAUGAGCUUCACAUCCUCCUGCUAAGGCUGAAAGGAACAAGAACAAGAGCUGCUGAUGGUUGCUCUCCCUCCCUCAUGGCCGGAGUGGAAAAGCACGUUUAAAUCCCGAACUCGGCUUUCCCACGUGGUGUCUCGCUGAGCUGCUGUCACAGCCACGCCGCGCUCUCACAGGGCACCGGACUUCUUCCCUGCCCUGCCGGCAAGGCACAAGGUGAUGAACAUUUCUAAUCAAACCGUAUUUUCGGGACACCUCACUAAACCCCAAAUUUGUGCAGAAAAAGUCACUUGCCUCGUGAGUUAAAAAGCUCCUACUUUUUAAUUCCAC
rnacentral:lncRNA from 1 species